AUUGAACGCUGGCGGCAGGCCUAACACAUGCAAGUCGAGCGGCAGCACGGGAGCUUGCUCCUGGUGGCGAGCGGCGGACGGGUGAGGAACACGUGGGAAUCUACCUAUUGGUGGGGGAUAACUUGGGGAAACUCAAGGUAAUACCGCAUUAUCCCUACGGGGGAAAGCAGGGGACCUUCGGGCCUUGCGCCGAUAGAUGAGCCCGCGUCGGAUUAGCUAGUUGGUAGGGUAAAGGCCUACCAAGGCGACGAUCCGUAGCUGGUCUGAGAGGAUGAUCAGCCACACUGGGACUGAGACACGGCCCAGACUCCUACGGGAGGCAGCAGUGGGGAAUAUUGGACAAUGGGGGCAACCCUGAUCCAGCCAUGCCGCGUGUGUGAAGAAGGCCUUAGGGUUGUAAAGCACUUUCAGUGGGGAGGAAGGCUUCUGGCUAAUAACCUGGAGUACUUGACGUUACCCACAGAAGAAGCACCGCUAACU
rnacentral:rRNA from 1 species